AACGGCCAUACCAUGCUGAAUAUACCGGUUCUCGUUAGAUCACCGAAGUCAAGCAUCAUUGGGCGCGGUCAGUACUUGUUUGGGA